GGGGUUGUAGCUCAGUGGUAGAGCGCUUGCCUCACCUGCAUGGAGACCUGGGUUCAAUCCUCAGCACCA
rnacentral:tRNA from 1 species